GACAGAGGCCUCGAGCGUUAGGCGGAAUCACUGGGCUUAAAGCGUGUGUAGGCGGAUCGUUAAGUACCUUGUGAAAUCCCACGGCUCAACCGUGGAACGGCUGGGUAUACUGGCGGUCUUGGGCCAUUCAGGGGCGACUGGAACAAGCGGUGGAGCGGUGAAAUGCGUAGAUAUCGUUUGGAACGCCAAUGGUGAAAACAGGUCGCUGGGGAUGUGCUGACGCUGAGACACGAAAGCCAGGGGAGCAAACGGG
rnacentral:rRNA from 1 species